CCCUCAUGCCAGGGUGUCAGCCACUGAGGUUGGGCAGCUUCUCCACGGUGAUGCCAGAGCCCCCAGGAUUCCAUAUGAGAUCCCCAGGAGGUCACGACCCACAGGUUGAGAACCACUGGUCGGGUUGACCAGAUUGGUCAUCCAACAGGUUGAUUUGCCUGUGAUGUCCUGCACACGUUCACAUGGGGCUCUGAGAGACAAUGGAAUCUCCUGACCUCUGCCUGUCACUCUCCGGCCUUGGCAAGAAUGGCUCGGCUGUGGAGGAGAAUUCAGGCUUUGGCUACAGGUAAACACAACCAGGACCAGCUUUCCUCGAAAUCACCGCUGGAUCUUCCUAACAAUAAAGUAUUUACCGCG